rnacentral:rRNA from 1 species
UAUGUGAUCGUCUCUCGCAUAUCAACUAAGCGGAGGAAAAGAAACUAACAAGGAUUCCCCUAGUAACGGCGAGUGAAGCGGGAAGAGCUCAAAUUUGAAAUCUUAAAGGGUUUCCCUUUACGAAUUGUAGUUUAAAGAAGUGUUUUCUGUUGAGGUUUUGGUAAAAGUUCUUUGGAAUAGGACAUCAUAGAGGGUGAGAAUCCCGUAUUUGACCUUUACUUUCAACUUUGUGAUACACUUUCAAAGAGUCGGAUUGUUUGGGAAUGCAGUCCAAAAUGGGUGGUAAAUUUCAUCUAAAGCUAAAUAUUGGCGAGAGACCGAUAGCGAACAAGUACCGUGAGGGAAAGAUGAAAAGAACUUUGAAAAGAGAGUUAAACAGUACGUGAAAUUGUCAAAAGGGAAGCGUUUGACACCAGUGUUGUUUUUCUGAAAAUCAAUUAAAGAACUGUUUAUGCUAAGUUGUUUAGACUUUAUCAGCUAACUGUUUAGUUUUGAGCUUUUCUUUAAUGCACUUUUCAGUUAACAAGUCAACAUCAAUUUCUUUUGCUGUAAAAAAGCUUGAGGAAGGUGGCUUGAGAUUCGUCUUAAGUGUUUAUAGCCUCUUGCCUAUGCAGUCGGAGAGAUUGAGGUCUGCAGCGUAGAUCCUUCGGGGCUAAAUGCAUUUGUGCUAAGUUAUAAGCAUUUUAUAGACAACUUGUUGACUAUGAUUUGUCUUGUAGCUUACUCGCUUAUGUUAUUUUACCUACGCUUAGGAUGUUGACACACGCGCGUGCUCG